AGAGUUUGAUCAUGGCUCAGAACGAACGCUGGCGGCGUACUUAACACAUGCAAGUCGGACGAGAAAGGAGACUUCGGUCUCUGAGUAGAGUGGCGCACGGGUGCGUAACACGUAAGUAGUCUACCCCGAACUCUGGGAUAACCCUCCGAAAGGAGGGCUAAUACUGGAUAGGGUCCCCGAGGUGGAGGCUGCGGGGGGAAAGUGGGCCUCUGCAUAUGCUCACGGUCCGGGAUGAGCUUGCGGCCCAUUAGCUUGUUGGUAGGGUAAUGGCUUACCAAGGCAACGAUGGGUAGCUGGUCUGAGAGGAUGAUCAGCCACACUGGCACUGAGACACGGGCCAGACUCCUACGGGAGGCAGCAGUGGGGAAUUUUGCGCAAUGGGCGAAAGCCUGACGCAGUAACGCCGCGUGGAGGAUGAAGGCCUUCGGGUUGUAAACUCCUGUCAGGGGGAACGACGCAGCCUGGCAGACAAUGCUGGACUUGCAGACGGUACCUCCAAAGGAAGCCCCGGCUAAUUCCGUGCCAGCAGCCGCGGUAAUAC
rnacentral:rRNA from 1 species